rnacentral:rRNA from 1 species
UGCCAGCCGCCGCGGUAACACGGGGGGCGCAAGCGUUAUUCGGAAUUAUUGGGCGUAAAGGGCGCGCAGGCGGUCUUGUCAGUCAGGUGUGAAAUCCCGUGGCUCAACCACGGAACUGCAUUGGAAACUAGCAGACUAGAGUAUUGGAGAGGUAAGUGGAAUUCCUGGUGGAGCGGUGGAAUGCGUAGAUAUCAGGAAGAACACCGAGAGCGAAGGCAGCUUACUGGACAAUUACUGACCCUCAGGGACGAAAGCAUGGGUAGCAAACAGGAUUAGAUA